rnacentral:lncRNA from 1 species
AAACUGUAGUGACCCCAAUGGAUUUUGAAGCUGGCAUCCCACUCCCUAGAUGUUACAGUCUAAAGCAAAUUAACUAAAGACUGAAAAUCAGAUAUAGAGCCAUACAGACCACUGUUCUGCCACAGCAUGCCUCUCCUUCAAUGAUCAGACUGAAUGUCGGUAUGCUGAAGUCUAAGAUUAUUACCAGUCCUUCCUCUAAACCUGUAUGUUGGUAUUUUUCUCACCUUUACCCAUAAUGCAUCCUUCCCUGGGAAUAUCCCGAGUUCUCUCAGCCUACAUACUGCUUCUGACCUGACUUUAAGGAAGAAAUGGUGGGCCUGAAGACUAGCACGUGGCAAGUCCUUAUCAGCCAACAAAAAGAGAAACCUUGCCCUCUUUUAGAUUUCAACUGCCAAUGGCUGCAACAGCAGCAGACGAUGUCUGAUGACAGCCAUUGUUCCUUCCCAUCUAGGAAAGAUGUUAGCCAUUUUGAGAAGUUUUUCUUCUCCCAAAGAUGAAGAAGAAGAAUAAAAGGGCAGGCCAGCUUGCUGGAAAUCUAGAGGCAGUCUGGGGACUGACUCAAAAGUUUAUCCCUUUUUGGCAUAGUGAAACAUUUUCCCUGACGUGGAACGAAGCUGGUAUUCAUCAAAUAUUAGCAUCUAUGUAGGUGGGUUUCCAAAUCCCACCUGCUAUUUUUGGCAAGCUGUAAAGAUUAUUUUUGUUAAAAAUCAUGUUGAAUCAUGCUCUGCUACACUUUUACUGCUUCCGACAACCCACUUCCACACAGGCACUAGUGCGAAAUAUUUCAACAAUUUUAACUUCCAUUUUCUUGCAUUAAAAGGCUGAAAUAUCAUUUGUUCCAGGUAUUGCAGAUCUAGUAGUUUCUUUUCCUAGGAACUGAGAGCCUGUCUUUCAAUACAGUUCUUACUUGUCUUCAUAUUUAUCUUUAAUCUUUUCCGCAUUCAUUUUGCAAUAUAUACGAGUACUUACUACUGGCAGACAAUUAUUUACACCAGCACUGUACCUCAUCAGUUGCCAAACCGAAAUGGAAAUAUUCCUUUACCCAUUUCCUGUAUUUGUUCCUCAUCGGGUUGUAGAAGAGUUUGGAAACAUUUCUUUAGAAAGGAAUGAACUACUCUUUAGCUGUUAAACAAUUACAGUUUCAAAACCAGGAUUUAUAUGCCCAUUUCUCAUAUAUAAUUAAUCAAUUCUUGUUAAUUACUUUUUUUUAA